CCUAGUAGCGGCGAGCGAAGCGGGAAGAGCUCAAAUUUAUAAUCUGGCACCUUCGGUGUCCGAGUUGUAAUCUCUAGAAAUGUUUUCCGCGUUGGACCGCACACAAGUCUGUUGGAAUACAGCGGCAUAGUGGUGAGACCCCCGUAUAUGGUGCGGACGCCCAGCGCUUUGUGAUACAUUUUCGAAGAGUCGAGUUGUUUGGGAAUGCAGCUCAAAUUGGGUGGUAAAUUCCAUCUAAAGCUAAAUAUUGGCGAGAGACCGAUAGCGAACAAGUACCGUGAGGGAAAGAUGAAAAGCACUUUGGAAAGAGAGUUAACAGUACGUGAAAUUGUUGGAAGGGAAACGCUUGAAGUCAGACUUGCUUGCCGAGCAAUCGGUUUGCAGGCCAGCAUCAGUUUUCCGGGAUGGAUAAUGGUAGAGAGAAGGUAGCAGUUUCGGCUGUGUUAUAGCUCUCUGCUGGAUACAUCUUGGGGGACUGAGGAACGCAGUGUGCCUUUGGCGGGGGUUUCGACCUCUUCACACUUAGGAUGCUGGUGGAAUGGCUUUAAACGACCCGUCUUGA
rnacentral:rRNA from 1 species